rnacentral:lncRNA from 1 species
GCCCAGGGGACGGGGCCCCGGGCAGCCCCCGCAUCGCUGCACUCGCGCUCCGCGCCUCAGGGCACACGCCCUAAAGCCCGGCCAGCUGGCCCUCUUCGGGGCCCAAAGAGAGCGGCAGGGCGGCCUUCCAGUCCGCUCGCUCUAGUCUUACUCCCGCCAUCUAAGAUGGCCGCCCAGCGCCCGCGGUGAAGAGACUCUCAGGCGGCCAAGGCAGGCGAGCGCUCCACUCGGUGCUCCUCCUCCUUACUUUAAAUCUAAUCUGUUUUUAUUAUUCCAGUUUCUUAAGCUCAGCAACAAAGAAGCACCAUGUUAGAUCCUGGGGAUUUAAAGUGCUUCACUAAAAGUGAAUGAAAAUCAGCAGUUACUGUAUAGCUGUCCAGAAUUAAGCUGCACCACCCAUUUUCUAUGAACACGUUUUUCCCUCUCAACUAUAGGACUCUGUGGUGAUUAUUAACACAGCAACCAACAGGUGGCGCUGCAGCUCUGUGCAACUCAACUCUACAGUCAACGACUUUUCUGCUUUUUUUACGAUGGAGUAGCAAAGAGCUAGAAAUGCUGCGUGCCCUCCAGGAAACCAUGACUAUUAAAUAGCAGAUCCCAAAUUAUAAUUGAGGUCUGGCUCAAGUUCACACUGUCUCUGGAGAACAUUAGUUCAUUCAGAGUAAAUUCUGGACUCAAGCAAAUCCCCAAGCCUCAGUUUCCCCGCUCAUUGAAAGCAAUCAAUCUAUCCAUCAUCUAUCUAUCAUCUUUGUAAUUUACUUGACUCUUGCAUUUCAUAUUCUCUAGGAUAGUUUACAAGUGUUAAAACAGCUUAUUCUAUGGUUGUCAUGAUAAGAAAUCAGCUUGGUUUAUAAUUCAGUGAAACAAUUUGGCAGACAUCUUUUUAUGACAUAUUUCUAUACCUCCUGGACAAGUUGUACCAAAUAAAGAUCUUGUCUAGAGUUCUUUUAUUCAAGAUCAAUAGACUAACAAAGAGUGCAGCUGUUCAAGCCUUUAAUCUACAGAAGAGCAGAGGAGCUAGCGGUGCAGGAGGAGGCCUUGCCAACACCUUGGGCUCUGGAGAGAGGAUAACAAAGAUCAUCUUCACUCUGAUGAAUCUGUCUGUUUUCUAAAUCGCUCUUGGGCAAAAUGGCUUCAACAGCUGCCCAGGAAUGUUGAGGAUCAUGGACUGAAGAUGGA